UACAGAGGUCUCAAGCGUUGUUCGGAUUCAUUGGGCGUAAAGGGUGCGUAGGUGGCGCCGUAAGUCGGGUGUGAAAUUUCGGAGCUUAACUCCGAAACUGCAUUCGAUACUGCGGUGCUUGAGGACUGGAGAGGAGACUGGAAUUCAUGGUGUAGCAGUGAAAUGCGUAGAUAUCGUAAGGAAGACCAGUGGCGAAGGCGGGUCUCUGGACAGUUCCUGACGCUGAUGCACGAAGGCCAGGGGAGCAAACGGG
rnacentral:rRNA from 1 species